CCUACGGGUGGCAGCAGUAGGGAAUAUUGGGCAAUGGAGGCAACUCUGACCCAGCCAUGCCGCGUGCAGGAUGAAGGCCCUUGGGUUGUAAACUGCUUUUAUCAGGGAAGCGGUACCUGAGGAAUAAGCACCGGCUAACUCCGUGCCAGCAGCCGCGGUAAUACGGAGUGUGCAAGCGUUAUCCGUAUUUACUGGGUUUAAAGGGUGCGUAGGCGGGUUGUUAAGUCAGUGGUGAAAGAUUCGAGCUCAACUCGGAAACUGCCAUUGAUACUGACAAUCUUGAAUAUAGUUGAGGUGGGCGGAAUGUGUCAUGUAGCGGUGAAAUGCUUAGAUAUGACACAGAACACCGAUUGCGAAGGCAGCUUGCUAAACUAUAUUGACGCUGAGGCACGAAAGCGUGGGGAGCGAACAGGAUUAGAUACCCGUGUAGUC
rnacentral:rRNA from 1 species